CCUUGCAAGACCCAAUCUUAGUGUGGAGCUUUUAACAGGAGCUUUAGAGAGAACAGCAGAAGUUCCUUUUUUCCUGUUUGUGAUAAUGCCCCACAGCAGGAGUCACAGGAGAGAGGACAACACGAUAUCUACGUGGAGACGUAGGCACAGAUCCCCUGCUGCUUAAAUCAACAUUUCUCUGUAGGCUUCGAGAGCGAAAUGUAAAUGCCCACAUGAGCGCAAUCUGAUUGCUGCAGAUGCCAGAUCUGCUGCAGUACUUCCAUCCGGAUGCUCCUCGCUGACCCCAGUGGCACUGGUGUUUUGGCAGUGGGCUGUUCAGGGCAAAUGAAA
rnacentral:lncRNA from 1 species